GUGGCGAACGGGUGAGUAACACGUGAGUAACCUGCCCUUGACUCUGGGAUAAGCGUUGGAAACGACGUCUAAUACCGGAUAUGAACCGUGAACGCAUGUUCUGCGGUUGGAAAGAAUUUUGGUCAAGGAUGGACUCGCGGCCUAUCAGCUAGUUGGUGAGGUAAUGGCUCACCAAGGCGACGACGGGUAGCCGGCCUGAGAGGGUGACCGGCCACACUGGGACUGAGACACGGCCCAGACUCCUACGGGAGGCAGCAGUGGGGAAUAUUGCACAAUGGGCGCAAGCCUGAUGCAGCAACGCCGCGUGAGGGACGACGGCCUUCGGGUUGUAAACCUCUUUUAGUAGGGAAGAAGCGAAAGUGACGGUACCUGCAGAAAAAGCACCGGCUAACUACGUGCCAGCAGCCGCGGUAAUACGUAGGGUGCAAGCGUUGUCCGGAAUUAUUGGGCGUAAAGAGCUCGUAGGCGGUUUGUCGCGUCUGCUGUGAAAACUGGAGGCUCAACCUCCAGCCUGCAGUGGGUACGGGCAGACUAGAGUGCGGUAGGGGAGAUUGGAAUUCCUGGUGUAGCGGUGGAAUGCGCAGAUAUCAGGAGGAACACCGAUGGCGAAGGCAGAUCUCUGGGCCGUAACUGACGCUGAGGAGCGAAAGCGUGGGGAGCGAACAGGAUUAGAUACCCUGGUA
rnacentral:rRNA from 1 species